AUUGAACGCUGGCGGCAGGCCUAACACAUGCAAGUCGAGCGGUAGCACAGGAGAGCUUGCUCUCUGGGUGACGAGCGGCGGACGGGUGAGUAAUGUCUGGGAAACUGCCUGAUGGAGGGGGAUAACUACUGGAAACGGUAGCUAAUACCGCAUAACGUCGCAAGACCAAAGAGGGGGACCUUCGGGCCGAUUGCCAUCAGAUGUGCCCAGAUGGGAUUAGCUAGUAGGUGGGGUAACGGCUCACCUAGGCGACGAUCCCUAGCUGGUCUGAGAGGAUGACCAGCCACACUGGAACUGAGACACGGUCCAGACUACUACGGGAGGCAGCAGUGGGGAAUAUUGCACAAUGGGCGCAAGCCUGAUGCAGCCAUGCCGCGUGUAUGAAGAAGGCCUUCGGGUUGUAGAGUACUUUCAGCGGGGAGGAAGGCGAUAAGGUUAAUAACCUUGUCGAUUGACGUUACCCGCAGAAGAAGCACCGGCUAACUCCGUGCCAGCCGCCGCCGUAAAAC
rnacentral:rRNA from 1 species